rnacentral:rRNA from 1 species
UGAAAACAGGCGAUAAAUCAUUCAAGUUUCUGACCUAUCAGCUUUCGACGGUAUGGUAUUGGCUUACCGUGGCAGUGACGGUUAACGGGGGAUUAGGGUUCGAUUCCGGAGAGGGAGCCUGAGAAACGGCUACCACAUCUAAGGAAGGCAGCAUGCGCGCAAAUUACCCUAUUCUAACAGUUUGAGAGAGGUAGUAACAAGAAAUAACAAUACAAGGCAGUUAAAAUGCUUUGUAAUUGGAAUGAUAGAAAUUUAAACCCUUUUUAAAGUAUCAUUUGGAGGGCAAGUCUGGUGCCAGCAGCCGCGGUAAUUCCAGCUCCAAUAGCGUAUAUUAAAAUUGUUGCAGUUAAAAAGCUCGUAGUUGAAGUUCUGCUAAAAGUAACCGGUCUGCUUUGAAUAAAAGUGGUAUCUUGGUAUGUAUUUAGCAAUGAUGUCCUUUGAAGUGUUUUUUACUUUAUUGUAAUAAAGCAUAUUCAGGACUUUUACUUUGAGAAAAUUAGAGUGUUUCUAGCAGGCCAACGCUUUGAAUACUGCAGCAU